AAUGGGAGGGUCUAGCGUGUAAUUAACCCCCCCACAGCAGAAGCACGCGGAUCCCAGGGGCAAUCGGGUCGGGUAGAAUUAGGUGGCCCUAUACGACGCCAUUUUGAAGCCAUUGCAAAGGGCUCUAAACGACGUCGUUUUAUGACGUAUAAAGGAAAAAAAUCCUAAAACCUAAACACUUAAAUCAUUCUUCAGAAAGAAAAAAAGAAAAAAAAAAACCAAAUGCCCUCUCAACCUUCCCAUUAUUCUCUCUAGCCCUCAGACUCCGACCUUGGGGACUGCCGAGCUCAUGUCAUUGAACACCAAUGACGGCGCAACCGUCUGUGGUGACCUUAAAGCCCGUUCUCGAGCCCUCUUGGAGAUGAAGUCUCCGACCUUCGCGAGGAGAGUGAGGAAAGAGAGAAAAAGGGACGGUUUCUCUGAAAAUCGGUGUGCCGUCGAACCCCGAAUCGGACCCCAAGGGGUCUUGGGCCUUGGCGCCGGAGAGUAAGGCCAACGGAGGAAGACAAAACGCCUUCGGAGUAGUUGGUAGUGGAGCAGGUGGCCACCAGUGGCAGUGACAAAGUCUCGGGGCUAGGUUUGGCGCCGAAUAGGCAAUAGGGGCUAGGUUUUUUUCUUAUUUUCUGAAAAUAUUAGGAAUGGGCUAGGUUUAUUUUUUUGGACUUGUAACUGGGUAGUGGGCUUAUUUUAAUUUAGUUUGGUUUUGAGUGUUGGGUUUAAGGAUUAUAAACGGGCCGGGCAAAUUGAGCUUAUAACAGAACUUAUCAAAUAUAGUAAAAAUAUUUAUUUUACAAAUAUUUUAAGGAAAA